AUGUCUUCGAUCUCAGAAGAGAAAUCGAUCGUGCGGAACAUCCUUGCGAAGCUGCCGACGAGGGACGUCGCCCGCUGCCGCUGCGUCUGUCGACGGUGGCGCCGCAUAGUCACCGACCCCUCCUUCCGCGCCCUCCACGGCUCCGUCGGCGGUGGCGACGUGCAAGCACAGACUUUGCUCGUGUACGAGAUCCGCUUGAGUGCCACCGUUGACAUGCUUGUCCUCAACAGCCCGUCGUCGCGGAGGCUCAUGUGCCGCGUCACCGACCUGUUCACGGCCGCCGGGUACAGCCCGGCCAACGCCUGCAACGGCUUCCUCCUCUUCGCGCCGCGCAUCCACGACUGGCCCCUUUGCGUCUGCAACCCCGUCACCGGCGAGAAGCUGCUUCUCUCGGAGGCGCCCUCGGUCCAACACGAGGUACCCGGACCCGCUCCAAUGUCGAGCGGUCUCGGCACCGUCUCCGGCGCUCGUAGACGGCAAGAUCUACUUAACAUGUGGCGAGGGGAUAUUGGUGAUGGACAUGGCAACCGAGGCGCACUGCACCUACCCCCUCCCCGUGUACGAGGGGGAGAAGCUCGCCUUCGAGCUGCGCGGCCGGCUGUGUAUCGCGGUGCACGUCAUCGCCCAGCGCAAGCUCUACUUUUGGGUAUUGCAUCUCGACCAAGACAAGAAGGAUGGCACGGCGCCCUUGCUUGA
rnacentral:rRNA from 1 species